UGGAAGAUUGCCUAUUCAGUUCCUGGACGCAGCAGGUCACUUAUUGAAGCUUCAAUAAACUCAGAUUUCUUUUUUGAUCAUUGUAUUGUAUUGUAUUAUCAGUUGCUAUGAAUAAAAAUAGGAAAGAAAAACACUGAGGGAAGUUCCAUUUAUAUCAUGCAUGAAAUAACAGUCACCAGACCAUAAAUUGUUGUUUUAAGAGUGUGGGCGAAAUGGGAACAACCCAUUGAGAAGAAUUAACUUGGUUUUCCUGAAGUUUGUCGAAGAUAAAUUAUGAACUCUCUGACUUGAAAGGUCAGAGCUGGAGAGGGAAAAGGAAUGUCUACUCGCUGAGGAGAAGUGCCUGACUAGAUCCCGUCUCCAAGCUGAAAUAAAGGAGCUACAUUCUUCAAUGGAAGGUUCAAAAAUCGAGAAACCAGCAAGUGACCCCCCAGAUAGCAUUCAGACGUUGGCCCAACGUCGGCAAUGGUUGGCAGUGUCGCGGUCGGAUUUUAUACGUUGGCCCAACGUUGUUACAACGUAAGGUCGCAUUUCGGAAAUUAUUUCCAAGGGGCGCUACUCGUAAUUGACAACUUCACAGAGAGGGCGCUGCGUUUUUUGCGCAUCUCAACGAGCAGACGACGAGACACAAGCACAGGCUCGAUCAUCGGAAUACCGUUUUCCUCGAAUAUAUAGAGGUGGAGUUUACAGUAUUGUGGAAGCAUAUUUGUUUACAUCACAUCACAGCCAGAAAGUUACCAAGGCACACGGAGAGACUGUGGAUACAGUUGAAGAUCAUCCCUGUGCAAAGUUCUUCUGACAUCUGAGGAUUGAAAAGGUCUACUCAACCACUCAGCCCAAGUUCUGAUUUGUCAUGUAACAAAUAAAUAAAGGUCACCGAAACCAGAA